AACCCAUGCUGUGGACACUUCUGCAGAAGGUCCUUGAAUCAUUUCCAAGCGUCAAACAUAGUUUCAAGCACCAUUUGAACAAAUGAAGAUAUCUCAUUACGAAGCUU